AUUACAGAAUUUGAACAGAUGUUUAUCUAAAACAUUAUUUAUGAACUAUGUUCCAAGAUAAACAAUUGUACUUUUUAUAACUAUCAGAUAUCCAUAACUUUGUCCAUUAUGAAGUGUGAUCUUUUAUUUUCAAGAGAAGAAAUUGUGUUCCAAUGUAUACGAUUGUUGUUUUCUAUUGUAUCAGUCUGUGGACUCUUAUAAUAUCUUAUCCUCUUGGCUUAUUUAAUUAAAUAAUAAAUACUCACAAUUUUAUCUAUUACGAGGUCCGAAGAAAACAACACAGAAGAUGACAGAAUUGAUUUGUUGAUCCUUAGAUAUAUGAUAUUGUUCUCAAACAUGAAAGCGAACGUCGCAAGUCUGAAUUGUUCAACAUGGAGUCAAUUGUUCAAAUAUCCUUCUACUCACUAUUUAAGGAUGCAAGAUUUGCAACUUUUUCAAGGCAUUAUAAAGACCAAUUCGCAUCAAAACAUCAAGAAAUAAACCAACAUCUUUUAUCCAUCUAAAUUACCCUGAAGACUCGCCAGAAAAAGCUUAAAUGACUAUAGUGAUUGCACGAGGAAGAGGUUCAAGUUGAUUCUAGCUGUGACGAGUAGAAGAAACGUGGAAUGAGGCGAAAAGAGGAACAGGAAGGCUUCA